GAUGAACGCUGGCGGCGUGCCUAAUACAUGCAAGUCGAGCGAACAGACGAGGAGCUUGCUCCUCUGACGUUAGCGGCGGACGGGUGAGUAACACGUGGAUAACCUACCUAUAAGACUGGGAUAACUUCGGGAAACCGGAGCUAAUACCGGAUAAUAUAUUGAACCGCAUGGUUCAAUAGUGAAAGACGGUUUUGCUGUCACUUAUAGAUGGAUCCGCGCCGGAUUAGCUAGUUGGUAAGGUAACGGCUUACCAAGGCAACGAUGCGUAGCCGACCUGAGAGGGUGAUCGGCCACACUGGAACUGAGACACGGUCCAGACUCCUACGGGAGGCAGCAGUAGGGAAUAUUCCACAAUGGGCGAAAGCCUGACGGAGCCACGCCGCGUGAGUGAUGAAGGUCUUCGGAUCGUAAAACUCUUUUAUUAGGGAAGAAAAAAUGUGUGAGAAACUAUGCACGUCUUGACGGUACCUAAUCAGAAAGCAACGGCUAACUACGUG
rnacentral:rRNA from 1 species